UGGAAUACCUAUCUAGCUAGCUUUCCCGGCGAUGCGUGAACCUUUGCAAACUCAGCAAACAUGUCAGAAUAUCAAAUCAGGGUGCAAUCGAGAAUUACACCACAAAAGAAACCAGAACAGCAGUAGGGUCAGAUAAACAAUGCAUGGCUAUGAUAAAAACAUGACAGGUGGGCAAAAGUCAGAAUAGAAAAGUCGGCUGCUGUCGCGUUCGCUCCUG
rnacentral:lncRNA from 1 species